UGCAGUCGAGCGGUAGCACAGAGAGCUUGCUCUCGGGUGACGAGCGGCGGACGGGUGAGUAAUGUCUGGGAAACUGCCUGAUGGAGGGGGAUAACUACUGGAAACGGUAGCUAAUACCGCAUAACGUCGCAAGACCAAAGUGGGGGACCUUCGGGCCUCAUGCCAUCAGAUGUGCCCAGAUGGGAUUAGCUAGUAGGUGGGGUAACGGCUCACCUAGGCGACGAUCCCUAGCUGGUCUGAGAGGAUGACCAGCCACACUGGAACUGAGACACGGUCCAGACUCCUACGGGAGGCAGCAGUGGGGAAUAUUGCACAAUGGGCGCAAGCCUGAUGCAGCCAUGCCGCGUGUGUGAAGAAGGCCUUCGGGUUGUAAAGCACUUUCAGCGGGGAGGAAGGCGAUAAGGUUAAUAACCUUGUCGAUUGACGUUACCCGCAGAAGAAGCACCGGCUAACUCCGUGCCAGCAGCCGCGGUAAUACGGAGGGUGCAAGCGUUAAUCGGAAUUACUGGGCGUAAAGCGCACGCAGGCGGUCUGUCAAGUCGGAUGUGAAAUCCCCGGGCUCAACCUGGGAACUGCAUUCGAAACUGGCAGGCUAGAGUCUUGUAGAGGGGGGUAGAAUUCCAGGUGUAGCGGUGAAAUGCGUAGAGAUCUGGAGGAAUACCGGUGGCGAAGGCGGCCCCCUGGACAAAGACUGACGCUCAGGUGCGAAAGCGUGGGGAGCAAACAGGAUUAGAUACCCUGGUAGUCCACGCCGUAAACGAUGUCGAUUUGGAGGUUGUGCCCUUGAGGCGUGGCUUCCGGAGCUAACGCGUUAAAUCGACCGCCUGGGGAGUACGGCCGCAAGGUUAAAACUCAAAUGAAUUGACGGGGGCCCGCACAAGCGGUGGAGCAUGUGGUUUAAUUCGAUGCAACGCGAAGAACCUUACCUGGUCUUGACAUCCACAGAACUUUCCAGAGAUGGAUUGGUGCCUUCGGGAACUGUGAGACAGGUGCUGCAUGGCUGUCGUCAGCUCGUGUUGUGAAAUGUUGGGUUAAGUCCCGCAACGAGCGCAACCCUUAUCCUUUGUUGCCAGCGGUCCGGCCGGGAACUCAAAGGAGACUGCCAGUGAUAAACUGGAGGAAGGUGGGGAUGACGUCAAGUCAUCAUGGCCCUUACGACCAGGGCUACACACGUGCUACAAUGGCAUAUACAAAGAGAAGCGACCUCGCGAGAGCAAGCGGACCUCAUAAAGUAUGUCGUAGUCCGGAUUGGAGUCUGCAACUCGACUCCAUGAAGUCGGAAUCGCUAGUAAUCGUAGAUCAGAAUGCUACGGUGAAUACGUUCCCGGGCCUUGUACACACCGCCCGUCACACCAUGGGAGUGGGUUGCAAAAGAAGUAGGUAGCUUAAC
rnacentral:rRNA from 1 species